GAAGCAGUGAAGCUAUGAAGAGCAGCCUCUUCAUCUCUGAGUAACUACGGCUACCCUCACCAAUCAAUCAGGAAAUCACCAAUUCACGAUCAUCAUCAAGUGAUUCAAGUCUUACUAGUUAGUAGCUAUCAAUCAAUCAGGUUAAGUGGUGACUGCCAAGGAUACCAAUUUUUUCUUCGUCUAUCAGAUUCAAUCUAAACCUUUUUGUUUCCAAGGUUGAGGUUGUCCUAUCCAAUCAAUGGCCUUAUUGGAGGGGAAAGUGCAGAUUUGUGGCCUAGGAUUGCAACUUGCAAGUGCAGGCUGUGCAGCCAUCCAUUUUCGUUUGCAAUGAUCGCAUUUCAUUUCUUGUCGAC